UGUGUGUAAUUAAUUUAUAAACUUUCAUCUAUAUAUGUUGGUUUGAUAAGAACUUAAACAAUCAUUCUUUUUUUGAAUAAAUGAAAUUUUAUUUGUUGAAAGAAAACAGAAAUAGGACUCAAAAUAAAAUCGUAUGUUGAUAACAAAUAAUUUAAGGGCAAAAUGUGAACUUAAGUCAAUCGUUUGCAAAGUUAAUUACAGUCUGUUAUUGGUGAUGCUUCCGUCAAUAUGACAAUAGGGGUCUGCUAGACAUACCCGCUUAAGUUCAAUGUUGAUGGCUCAUGAGCAAUUGGGUUUUCUGAUAAAGCUAGUUACGAUUGUGUCUUAGCAGAUGAUACAGGUGCUAUCCUUGGAAUUUUCUUUGGCCCUCUUGGUAUUAAAAGUUCGAAUUAUACUGAGAUUUUUGCUACAAAGGAAGCUCUAUUGAUGUUCUGUAAAUCAACUUGGGUACAGCCCCGACUCAAAAGUGGCAAUAUCCUGGGUUUAUAAUUGUGAUUCUCGGCCAUGGAAGGAUUGUCAGAUUUUCAAUGAAGUUGACAAGACUUAGGUACGAGAUUAGGAGGGAUGAGUUUGUUCAUAUCUUUAGAAAAGCAAAUUCCUUGGCUAAAUUAGGUGUUAACAGAAACGAAAUGUUUUAUGCUUGGCUUUAGAUGUUGUCCUUUUGUUAUUUUGUAUUAUUGGUUUCAACAGCUCGAUCUUUCCUAAUUAGAAAGCUGCCUUUGGACCCUGCAUCGUUGAGGGAUUGUUUCAGCUUUGCAACAACAUUCCUUCACGAAUCAUGAAUGAAAGCUAUAUCUUUGGCUGAGAAAAAAUUUACAAUCUAAUCCAAUUCAACAUAUAAAAGAGGAAUGGAAGUUGCUAUAAGCGCAUGUAAGUGCACAGCUAUGAAUUCCACAAAGCACGAGAGCUGGUGCUUGUUGCUGUCAAAUGCUUAAUUCCAAGGUGAUACCACCGAACAAUGAUUAAGGCGAGUGGGCGAUGAUCACUAUUGGACCUACACAACUGUCACUUUGCAGACAAAGCUGUGGAAAUUAAGAAGCAAACAAAUCCACUUUUCUUUGUUGUUUAAUUGUAAUGUGAGAUGGGAGAGAAUCAUUCUCUUUUUCGAUACCUGCCACCAAUUAUUCCUUAGAUUAGAUUCUUAUCUUUUCCUCCGGUUUAAGACUUAAAAGGUAGGCUUAGCCUCAAAUUAGUCACAACCUUCUCCACAUAUUGAUUAUACUAUCAUAUAAGGGAUUAGGGAUUCAGUAGCCUUUACAAAAAGGAGAGUAGAGCAAAGUGCAUGGAAUAUUAUGAGAAGUGAGAAAUCUUGCUUUUCUUCUAUUUACAGCUCAAACCCAAAUUUUUUUCAUCAUCAUUUCUAUAAAUCUAUAUAAUAUUAAGCAUCAUGCAUAUGCUACUAUUCUUCUUUAUGCUGAAGUUUGGUUUAAAUAAUGUUGAAGAAAAUAUCAAAUACUCCAAGUGAAAACUUCAAAUUUCAACUUAGGAUUUAGGAACACUUGAAAUUAUCAGCUACAAAUGAUCCAAAAAAAAAA